CCCGAUCGGAUUGCUAUUACUUUGUGGAACGUUUCGCCGAAUGGUUCACGGAAUAUCGUCGUUCUUGUGGCGAAAUUUGUCCCAUAGGAAUGAAUGGCAAAGCUAGAGUGGGAGCUGGCAAAAGCUGAAAAAUCAGGACAUUAUUUCUAAACUGCCACCACUCCCUUAUUUUCAGGCCCACCUACACAAAUCUUAUAUCAAAACGUUCAGCUUUCCCUCCUGCCACUAAAUAUGUCAACGGCUAAGCCAUAGUCCUGAUAGUUUUCACAAUAUAAUCAUUUGUUUGCAACUAACGCCGUCCAUUGACAUUCAUUGAAACUUCCCUCUACAAAGCUCAAAUUUGAAGUGCAAUUUCUAAACUGCGACUGUGCCUUCACUUUUAAUACUUCAGAGACAUACUAUGCAUCAAAAUGUAGGUCUGGGUCUUGUGAUUCUCACAAUAUAAAGCUC